CAACACGCCCGGCCCCAAAAUAUUCCUUUAAUGAGCUGCAUGCAGUGAGGCUUAGGCAGGAGCAUCACUUGAGCCCAGGAGUUGCAGGGAGCUAGGAUUCCAUCACUGUACCCCAAGCUUAGGUGGCAGAGUGAGAUUCUGUGUCCAAAUAAAUAAAUAAAUGAUUGAAUACAUUAGUAAAUGGGGAAAAGAGACAAGCCUCACCUGCAGAAUUCCAAAUAAAUUAUUUAGAUACCUCACCCUAAAGGCAGGGUGACAUAACCUCCCACUUCCUUUUUUUUUUUUUUUUUUUUUUUUUUUUUUUGAGACGGAGUCUCACUCUGUUUUCAGGCUGGAGUGCAGUGGUGGUCUCUGUCUCUUGAGCUUAUGAUCCACCCACCUUGGCCUCCCAAAGUGCUGAGAUUACAGGCGUGAGCCACCGCGCACAGCCAACUUCCCACUUGUUAAACGUGGACUGUGCAGAGUGACUUCCUUCCAAAGAGUACAGAAUAAAAAGGACAAACAAAAGGAGUAACUUUAUAGUGGAGACACACCUUCAGCAGGAUGAUCAAGGUCGAUAUUAACACUCAUAAGCCAUGUGGAUAGCAUGUACCUUUACUGGGUCGAAUCACGUCCUCCCAAAGCUCACAUCCUCCCUGCAACCUCGGACUGUGACCUUAUUUGCAAAUAGUGAUUGCAGAUGUAAUUAGCUAAGAUGAGGUCACACUGGAGUAGAGUGGGCCCUUAAUCCAAUAUGGCUAGUAUCCUGAUUAGAAGAGGUGAAGAGAAAUGGACCCCGGAGGGGAGAACGCUACAUGAGGGAAGUGAUGCAGAGCCAGCCGCAGCAGCGAGGGAAAUCCCUGGAAGGCAGGAAGAAGCAUGGCAGGCUGCCCCCUGCGGCUUUCAGCAGCAGCAGGACCUUGCCGACACCUUGCCUUUAGACUUCCGUUCUCCAGAACUGUGAAAAAAUAAAUGCAUGGUGUUUUCAGCUGCCCAGUAUGUGGUCCUUUGUGAUGACAGCUCUAGGAAAUUAAUGCCAGAUCCUUGCUAUGAUGACGUAAUGGAAGUGGCACUUUACCUCUAGGAUCUUCCUCCCCAAAACCCACAACUCCAUUCUAAUCAUGAGAAAAACAUCGGAUACAUUUCAAUAGAAAAGCAUCCUACAAAAUACCUAUCUAGUAAUCCCUCAAAACUGUCAAAAAAAAAAAAAAAAACACCGUCAGAGCCAGUCGGGCCUGGGGGCUCACGCCUAUAAUUUCAGCACUUAAGGAGGUUGAACCAGGAGGAUUGCUUGAGCCCAGGAGUUUGAGACCAGCCUGGGCAACAGAGAGAGACCCCAUCUCUACCAAAAAUAAACAAAUAAGUUGGGCAUGGUGGCGCACAUGUGUGGUCCGAGCUACUCAGGAGACUGAGGUGGGAGGAUUGCUUGAGGCCAGGAGGUGGAGGCUGGGAUUACAGGCAUGAGCUACCACACCUGGCCAGGAGAUCCCUCUUGAUAAGAGUGGCUUUGUUUACAUGGAGGCCUUGGACAAGCCAGGUGGUUUAUACUUAGAGUCAUCAAAAUUCAUAGAACCAGGAAGAAGAAUGGUGGUUGCCAAGGGCUGGGGAAGGAAGAAAUGGGAGUUAGUGUUUCAUGGGUAGAGUUUCAGUUUUACAAGAUGAAAAGAGUUCCAGCGAUGGAUAGUGGGGAUAGUUGCGCGAUAUUGUGGAUGUAUUUAAUACC
rnacentral:lncRNA from 1 species